rnacentral:rRNA from 1 species
GGAUUAGAUACCCUGGUAGUCCACGCCGUAAACGAUGAGCACUAGAUGGCCGCCUUUCGGGGUAGCUGUCGUAGAGAAAUCGCUAAGUGCUCCGCCUGGGGAGUAUGGUCGCAAGGCUGAAACUCAAAGAAAUUGACGGGGGCUCACACAAGCGGUGGAGGAUGUGGUUUAAUUCGAAGCAACGCGAAGAACCUUACCAGGUCUUGACAUAUAAGGAUUAAAACUGUGAAAGCAGUUGGAUUACCAGCAAUGGAGUAACUUAUACAGGUGCUGCAUGGCUGUCGUCAGCUCGUGUCG